rnacentral:rRNA from 1 species
AGUGAACGCUGGCGGUAGGCCUAACACAUGCAAGUCGAACGGCAGCACAGUAAGAGCUUGCUCUUACGGGUGGCGAGUGGCGGACGGGUGAGGAAUACAUCGGAAUCUACUUUUUCUGGGGUGAUAACGUAGGGAAACUUACGCUAAUACCGCAUACGACCUACGGGUGAAAGCAGUGGAUCUUCGGACCUUGCGCGAUUGAAUGAGCCGAUGUCGGAUUAGCUAGUUGGCUGGGUAAAGGCCCACCAAGGCGACGAUCCGUAGCUGGUCUGAGAGGAUGAUCAGCCACACUGGAACUGAGACACGGUCCAGACUCCUACGGGAGGCAGCAGUGGGGAAUAUUGGACAAUGGGCGAAAGCCUGAUCGAGCAAUACCGCGUGGGUGAAGAAGGCCUUCGGGUUGUAAAGCUCUGUUGUUGGGAAAGAAAAGAAGCAGGUUAAUCCCCCGAUGUUCUGACGGUACCCAAAGAAUAAGCCCCGGCUAACUUCGUG